rnacentral:rRNA from 1 species
GACGAACGCUGGCGGCGUGCUUAACACAUGCAAGUCGAACGGAAAGGCCCUGCUUUUGUGGGGUGCUCGAGUGGCGAACGGGUGAGUAACACGUGAGUAACCUGCCCUUGACUUUGGGAUAACUUCAGGAAACUGGGGCUAAUACCGGAUAGGAGCUCCUGCUGCAUGGUGGGGGUUGGAAAGUUUCGGCGGUUGGGGAUGGACUCGCGGCUUAUCAGCUUGUUGGUGGGGUAGUGGCUUACCAAGGCUUUGACGGGUAGCCGGCCUGAGAGGGUGACCGGACAAAUUGGGACUGAGAUACGGCCCAGACUCCAACGGGAGGCAGCAGUGGGGAAUAUUGCACAAUGGGAGGAAGCCUGAUGAAGCAAAGCCGCGUGCGGGAUGACGGCCUUCGGGUUGUAAACCGAUUUCGCCUGUGACGAAGCGUGAGUGACGGUAAUGGGUAAAGAAGCACCGGCUAACUACGUG